AACCAAACAAAAAAUAAAUAAAUAAAACAAGUAAUAAAAAAAUAAAAAUGAGCGAGACAGAACGUCUAAUUCCAGACAAUGACAGUGAUUCAUCUGAGAAUCAGUCUCACCUUCUUGACAACUCAGGGGCUCAUGAAAGGACACAACAAUGGACACAAGUCAAUGCUAUAAGUACAUAGUUUAACUGAGCUGACUUUUUAACCUAACAUUUAUUAGUUUUUAAAAUAUCA